GACGAACGCUGGCGGCGUGCUUAACACAUGCAAGUCGAACGGAAAGGCCCUGCUUUUGUGGGGUGCUCGAGUGGCGAACGGGUGAGUAACACGUGAGUAACCUGCCCUUGACUUUGGGAUAACUUCAGGAAACUGGGGCUAAUACCGGAUAGGAGCUCCUGCUGCAUGUUGGGGGUUGGAAAGUUUCGGCGGUUGGGGAUGGACUCGCGGCUUAUCAGCUUGUUGGUGGGGUAGUGGCUUACCAAGGCUUUGACGGGUAGCCGGCCUGAGCGGGUGACCGGCCACAUUGGGACUGAGAUACGGCCCAGACUCCUACGGGAGGCAGCAGUGGGGAAUAUUGCACAAUGGGCGGAAGCCUGAUGCAGCAACGCCGCGUGCGGGAUGACGGCCUUCGGGGUGUAAACCGCUUUCGCCUGUGACGAAGCGUGAGUGACGGUAAUGGGUAAAGAAGCACCGGCUAACUACGUG
rnacentral:rRNA from 1 species